rnacentral:rRNA from 1 species
GACGAACGCUGGCGGCGUGCCUAAUACAUGCAAGUAGAACGCUGAAGGAGGAGCUUGCUUCUCUGGAUGAGUUGCGAACGGGUGAGUAACGCGUAGGUAACCUGCCUGGUAGCGGGGGAUAACUAUUGGAAACGAUAGCUAAUACCGCAUAAGAGUAGAUGUCGCAUGACAUUUGCUUAAAGGGUGCAAUUGCAUCACUACCAGAUGGACCUGCGUUGUAUUAGCUAGUUGGUGAGGUAACGGCUCACCAAGGCAACGAUACAUAGCCGACCUGAGAGGGGGAUCGGCCACACUGGGACUGAGACACGGCCCAGACUCCUACGGGAGGCAGCAGUAGGGAAUCUUCGGCAAUGGACGGAAGUCUGACCGAGCAACGCCGCGUGAGUGAAGAAGGUUUUCGGAUCGUAAAGCUCGGUUGUAGGAGAAGAACGAGUGUGAGAGUGGAAAGUUCACACUGUGACGGUAUCUUACCAGAAAGGGACGGCUAACUACGUG